UACGUAGGGGGCAAGCGUUGUCCGGAAUCAUUGGCGUAAGCGCGCGUAGGCGGGUUCGUAAGUCGAUUCGUGAAACCCUGGGCGUCAACCCGGGACGUGCAGUCGAUACUGCGAAUCUUGAGUGCCUGAGAGGAUGCGGAAUUCCGUGUAGUGUGAAUACGUAGAUAGUCGGAAGAACACCUGAGGCGAAGGCGGCUAUCUGGCGGUGCACUGACGCUGAUGAGCGCGAAAGCGUAGG
rnacentral:rRNA from 1 species